GUCUUUUUGGUUAUAAUUUAAAGUCGAAUCUGCCCACUGAUUAUUAAUUAAAGGGCUGCAGUAUUUUGACUGUACAAAGGUAGCAUAAUAAUUAGUCUUUUAAUUGAAGACUUGUAUGAAAGAUUUGAUGAGAUAUAAACUGUCUCUUUUUUAUAAUUAGAAUUUAAUUUUUCAGUAAAAAAGCUGAAAUUAUUUUAAAAGACGAGAAGACCCUAUAGAGUUUUAUAAUUAAAUUAAUUAUAUAUUUAUAUUUAAGUUAAAAGUUAUUUGAUUUAAUUAUUUUGUUGGGGUGAUAAAAAAAUUAAAUUAACUUUUUUUAAAAAGUAAACAUUGAUUUAUGAGUUUUUGAUCCAUAAUUUAUGAUUAAAAGAAAAAAUUACCUUAGGGAUAACAGCGUAAUUUUUUUUUUUAGUUCUUAUAAGAAAAAAAGUUUGCGACCUCGAUGUUGGAUUAAGAUAAAAUUUAAAUGCAGAAGUUUAAAAUUUUGAUCUGUUCGAUCAUUAAAAUCUUACA
rnacentral:rRNA from 1 species